CCUGCAGGCCCUGGUCUGGUGUCCGCGCGGACGCUGAGGGUUCGGGGUGCGCUGGGCUUGCGCUGGGGCGGGCCGGGGGCGUCCGCACGCUUCCUCCCCAGCACGCGUGGGCCUUUUCACGACUCUCGGGAGUGAGCAGGACCCCCUGGGCACCUUUGGACGUCCUUCGAGACGCGCUGUGACGUGUGUGUUAGCCCAUGUGCUUUUCAAAACAGCCUUGGAAGGAGCUCCAGAAGCCAUUUCAGACCGUGGGGUGACCUUGGGAAGUGCGAGGACAGACAUGAGGGAACUACAGACGUCCGGAGCCUUGGGGGCUGGCGGAGCUGAACUGAGACCCCCCGCCCCCUCCACACACACACACCGGGAAUCCUGAGGGAGCUGAUCCCCGGUGUCGGCGGGAAGCGUAUCUGCCAGGUGCGACGGUGGACUGUGGUGGCCGCGAAUACCCGCCCCUGUCCGCAGAGGGCCACCUUCCUAGGUCGUAUCCUUCUUGAGGUGACUGAGCCGGCCUGGCCAUUGGGCCCAGCGCUGAAGGCCUCUGCGAGCACGACAGGCUGCCUACAGCUUAGCUGGGCCUGCAUGGCCCUGUCCUUCCUAGGCUCAACCCUGUCUCCUUCCCCUUCCUUUCACAGGUGUUGAUGCCAUAUAAACUUGUACCCCAAACUCUCUCUCACCAUCUGCUUCUGGAGAAACCAUCCUGCAACAGUUGGUACCUGGGGUUUAGAUGGCAGGUGAUAAGAUGGGGUGAAUCACUCACCACUUAUGGAUGGAACACUCACAGCCCCUGGCAUGAAGUGAUCUAAUUGUUAACCUUCCACCCGUGUAGAAGAGUGAACCAGAGAAGUGAAAUGAAUACCCUAGAAGCGUUUUACGUAUGAUGGAAAUAUUAGCUAUAAGGAAGGGUACUGGGAUUGGGUAGCUAUUCCUUAACACUACUGAUGCCCUUAAGAGAAAUAAUGGACAGUGGAUGGCUACCAACAGACGAUUGAAAGCCAUGGAGUCUCUUCGGUUGCCUGCAAAAAAAGCCUCAUCUCCUGCAUUGAGACAAUAAAGACAAGGGCCAGGCUCAAGAAUUAAUAUCUCAAAGAUGGUAAACACCCAGCCAAGGCAGUUCUGUGAUGCUAAGUUUGGGGCCCUGGUUGGGAAAAUCUGGGCCCAUGACACAUGUCAAAGAGAUCUCAUAUCUGGAAAAGAAGAUCAGAAACAUUUCACAUUCACGUGGAACAAAGAUGCAGUUUUGCCUGAAGCCUAUGUUACCUCUCUUGCCCUCUCAUAGUCCAAAGACUUCACCAUCCUGAAGAACAUCACAUUGUUUCCAUUACAUCAAUAACAUUAUAAAGAUGCUGGAGACAUCGGUAAGAUACAGGUGCUCCAGAGAGUAGUAGAUAAACCCUAUGAAGAUUCAGGGACCUGCUACACUUAAAAUAUUAAAAUAUUUUUAGGGAUCCAGUGGUCAGUGGUGCCCUAAGGCAUCCCUUCCAAAAGAAAAAGACAAUUGUUGCGUCAUGCACCUUCAACCAUUUUUUAAUAAAGGAAGACACUGUUGGGCCUCUUCAAGUUCUGGAAGCAGCAUAUUCCACACAUAAAUACUGCUCUGGCCCAAAUACUGGUUGACUUGGAAGACUUCCAGGUUUGAGAAGAGCCCAGAAAAGGAAAAGUUUCUGUCUCAGGUCAAGGCUGUGGUACAAGCAGUUCUGCUGCCUGGGCCAUACGGUCUAGCAGGUGGUAUUGGUGGUGGGGAACAAUGCAAUGUGGAGUUUCUGGCACAUCUCAGCAGGAGAUUGACAAAGCAGGAGCCCUAGGUUCUGUGAUGCCACUUGAAGCAGAGAAUUACAUAUGCCUUUUGAGGGAAAAAAACCAUCUUGGUGUGCUUCUGUGCUCUGACAGAGAUGGAACAUCUGACCUUGGGACACCAAGUGACCCCGCAGACAGGACUGCUUUGUGAGGUGGGUUCUGCCAAACUCACCAAGUCAUCAGGUCGGUUUGGCCCAGAAACAGUCCACCACCAGGUGGAAGGAAGGAGCACAUUCAAGACUGAGCAUGAGACUGUUCAGAGGUCACAAGGGAGUGCAAAAUAGGUGGCCCAGACCCACAUGGCAUCCACUGCUGUUGUAUCAGAGCCUCUCUGUUCCUUCGCAUCUAUGACCGUAUGGGGAAGCCUUCAGAGCAAGUUGACAGGUGGAAAAAUCUUGAGCCUGGUUCACAGAUGGGUUGGCUUGGCAUGUGAGUUCAGAAUGAAAGUGUACAGCAGCUACAUUACAGCCUCACUCAGGGCUGGCCCUACAGACAGUGGUUAAGGAUAUACCCUCCCCGUGGGCAGAGCUCCUAGUCAUUCCCUUUUCUGCGUAAGGAGUGGCCCAAAGUGAGAAUAUAUAUGGACACACGGGCAGUGUUGGAUGGCCUGUGUGACUGGCUAAGGGUUUGGAAGGAAAACAAUUGGAAAACUGGGGACAAGGAAAGCAUGUGGGAAGACAUACUGGGAUAGGCGCCAAGCAGGAUGGUCUUGGUGUAAAAUAUUAAUGCCCACCAGAGAGCACCCAUGAAAGUAAUAAACCACCAAGCAGACAGAACGACGAUUCAGCCAGUUGACCCUGGACAGCAUCUCUUACUUGGCAACCCCUGCACUGGCAUGAUGGGUACAAGAACAGAGGAACAAAAGUAAUGAGGUUGGAGGCUACUCGUGGGCCCAAAGCUGAUCUAACCAGUAGCUGACACUGAAGGUCUAACCUGCCAGUGGGAGACCAACGCUGAGCUCUGAAUGUGGCUCCUUCCACUAAGAAGGUCAACCAGCCAAGUUUGCUGUAUCAGAACUCUUCCAUCCUGGAAGGGCCAGGAGUUUGUUUUCACAGAAAUAGAUUCAUAUUCCAUAUAUAGGCUUGACUUCCUGCCCACAAGUUUCAGGCAACAGGGGCUUAUGGAGUGGUAGUUCCUCUGGCACAGGAUCCCAUGUGGCAUCAUAUCAAACAUAGGAUUCACUUUAUGGCAAAGGAAGUGCACAGCAAGGAGUGCAAAGACCACGGGAUCUGCUGCCUGACAGAGCACUGGGACAGUCAGCUAAAGGCACAGCUCAAGUACCAAAUCGGAGGUAAUGUUCUGCAAAGAUGGGGUGGCAUUCAAGACCUAUAUAUGGCACUGUGUUCCCAACAAGAAGGAUACCUGAAUCUGAAACCCAAGGGGUGGAAACAGGAGUGGUCCCACUUAACCAUCACCUGCAGUGAUCCACUGGGGGCUUUGUGCUUCCUGUCCUCCCAAGUUUAGAUUCUGCAGGGUUAGAGGUCCUGGUCCCCAAAAGGGACACUCCCUGGGGAACACACCAAGUGUUCCAUUGGAUUAUAAACUAUGGAUGAUGUCUGGGAACCUUGGGUUCCUGCGUCUAGGAACCAGCAGGUGAAAGGAGGAGUCACUGUCUUGGUGACAGAGAGGGUAGGGCUGCUCCUACACUCACUGCACAACGGGGAAGAAUGUGUAGAACCUGAGUGACCCACAGGGGUGUGGCUCCGUACUCCUUUGCUUAUCUGCGAUUGAGAAACUAGAGAAUCCAACUUGCACACGCAGUGGAAGAGUCUGCCUCUUGAUUUUCAGACCCCUGCAGUCUGGCUGUAAGGGAAGUACAUGAUACACGUGCUCCUAGUUUUAGGCAUAAACCAGUUUGCAACACUGCGUCCAACUUGAAAGACUGAUUUCCAAGCUGGCGCUGAUAGAGAGCCUUCAACCAGCCAUUCCACUCUUCAGCCCAGACAGCCGCUUCCAGCUGAUGGGACACGAUAUUGGUUCGUAAACUUGCCCCUGUACACGAGGGCAAGGAGAGACCAAAGAGACACAGACACUCCAGAUCAGCAGCUUUAAUAAGCAGGGAACUUACGAGGUUUGUCCUGGCGGCCAGAAGACGAACAGAUCUCCACACCCGCCCGCCAGAAUCUUAAGAGCUUAUACAGAGGCCUUGACUGGGUUCAGUCAUGCACACCUUCCAGAUGGUGUCCACACCACCUUGCUCUCUCAAGGCUGCAUCCUUGGGGCAGCUGCCAGCGUGGGGAGGGCAAGCGCAAUGCACAACCCAAGGAUGGGGAGCUGGUGGGGAGCCUCUGAUGGCCCAGGGCCAGCUAACAGGUCAACCAGCGGUCAUGUCCUCUCGACGACCUCCUCCAACAUGGUAAGACCAGUGGAUUCUACGUGUGAACUCAUCCUGCACUUUCAUCGCUUUAAAGUAACGCCUGCUGCUAAGAGGCAGUGUCAUGCAGAGCUACAGCAACGAACAAGACGUCUCCAAGGGCACAGAGAGUGCUGUUGGCAGAUGCACUGCAGACAGGGAAGCAAAAAAGUCACACCUGGAGUGUGUCUAUUCCUGGUGGGACCGACCACUGCGUCCUCUGUGAUGGAGGAACCAGCUCGCCACAUCAAGGUCUCAGCCCUGGCCUCUGCGGUUGGCAGUUCAGGCACUGAGAAGUGGGAGAAGCCAGGAAGCCUUGGUGAGAGGAGGUCUUGUUGCUGAACCAGUGCAAGUCUCUUUUCUGCCACCUAAGGAAAGAGGCUGAGUGACACCCAUGAGCAAGUCAUCCUGUCCGCUGGACUGCACUUCGGCAGUGGGUGCCCUGAGGGAGGAAGGUCUUCUUACAUACCCGUCCUGCAGAUGACCUUGACACCACUUUGCAAUCUUUCUGCCAUCAAGUAUUGACCAGCUGGACAGUCAGUUACUCAUGAGAAUGCUUAUGGAUCAGGAACCCAGGUCAGUUCUCUUUCCACAUGGAAUGGAGCACCAAUGUACCAUCCGAAGUUUGCCAGCUGGAAAUCUUCCAAAUCCCAUACGCUGCGUGUGUGUGGCAACUGUCUACUUCUGGCUGAGGCCAGCACACUGUGCAGAUCCAGCUGCAGAACAAACUUGUGCUUCUUCCUGUUCUGCCAACUAGUCACAGGUAACGUCUCACAAGACCACAGACGUGGCUGAGACAGUGAAACAGAAGAUCCAGCACCAUGAGUCUGACUACCGACCAUGUCAUUUACGUACGUCUUCUGAUCUUCUCACGCCCAGCUCUGUGUGUACCUGUGAUGGACAAACUCCUACGCUGAAAUCCUGCCCACAAUGGGAUGGCAUUGGGAGGUAGAAGCUCUGGGAAGCAGAUGAAGCUGUGAGGGUGGAGCCCUCCCUUACGGAUGGGAUUAUUGCCCUUAAAAGAGCCACGAGUGCUUGCUCCCCCUCUCUGCUCUCCACCACAUAAAGAUACAAGGAAUAAUCAGCCAUCUGCAACCCAGGAGAGGCCCUCACGAGAACCCCACCCUGCUGGCCCCCGCAUCUUGAACUUCCAGCCUCCAGAACUGUGAGACACACAUUUCUGUUGGUUAUAAGCCACCCAGUUUAUGGCAUUUCGUUAUAGCAGCCCAAGCUAAGACAAUACUGUUUCUGGUUUUCAAUGGAAUGCUGCUGUUUACAUCCAGUUUCAUUAUUUGUUGUACUUCUCUGGCUACUUUGGGAUAAACUCUUGAUAUGGGUCCAGAAGUGAUGGCACCUGUCCCAGGUACAAUCAUAAAAGGUUUUAUAUUUAGGCUCCCUUAUCAUUUUUUUUCUCAAUACCAAUUAGAUGAUCAAUUCGAUUUCAACUGGCAGGGACAACUUCCCUACCUUACCUGAGGGUCUUUGUUUAGACAUCGUAAUAUCACUUUGAUGCAUUAAAGACAUCAUGGUAAUUGGUCCUAAUGAGCAGGAAGAAGUACCCUAGUUGCCUUGGAUGGUGAGAGGUAAAUUCCAUGAAAAAUCAGUGGUCUGUGGACUAUCAUGGUCUCCCUUCCAAAGUGAAUGACAAGCAGCUACGCCUCGCACUGCUCACAACUAAGAAAGGCCCAGGCCUCGCGUGUGUGGACUUUUGAUAUGACCACAUCUGGGUGUGCUGCUCCCGUCUUCUGACUGAGGAAGCCGUAGGCUGUUGGUUUCGCGAGACCUGGAUAAGGACCCGCAGCUCUGAUACUCAGGACAAGUUUGUAGCCAGCCAGGCAGAAGUGUGGACAGCCUGGGGACUCCACCGAUGGCCGCUGUCUAACGUGGCUGUAUUCUGGGACUGAGUUCUUUUUUUUUUUUUUAAUUUAUUUAUUUAUGUAUUUAUUUUUGGCUGGGUUGGGUCUUUGUUGCUGCGCGCAGGCUUUCUCUAGUUGCGGCAAAUGGGGUCUACCCUUCGUUGCGGUGUGCGGGCUUCUCAUUGCGGUGGCUUCUCUUGUUGGGGAGCACGGGCUCUAGGCAUGUGGGCUUCAGUAGUUGUGGCUCGUGGGCUCAGUAGUUGUGGCUCAUGGGCUUAGUUGCUCCGCAGCAUGUGGGAUCUUCCCGGACCAGGGCUUGAACCCAUGUCCCCUGCAUUGGCAGGCGGAUUCUUAACCACUGUGCCACCAGGGAAGCCCCUGGGACUGAGUCCUUAACGUAGUUUCUGUGCUGACCCCAGGUAGUGUCAGAAUUGAACUGUAGGACACUCGGGUGGUGAUGGAGAGGAGGUGGUGAAUGAUAAGACUCAAGCGGGUCAGGAAGGCAAAAGUAAACCCCGUGAACAGAUGGCCAGGGUUCCCAGAAAAUUUCUCCCUCUGAGUUGUCCUUGUGCUCUGUCUACUCCUGUUCUGCAUAUGGACUUGCUGUCCCUGCCCAGAACCCAUCUGGGGACUGCCCAAAUUACUUACUCACCAUCGCUGCUUCCGACCAGAAAACUCCUCUCAUAGCAAAAGUGCGGCACUAGCCUUACGACCAUGGGAUUCCCUGACGUCAACCCAGAAGCAGUUCAGCUACUGACAGUGGGAAGGCUGCCCUACUGCAGACCCACUUAUGGCCAUUUCUCCCACAGCCAGAAUACAUCAGCCUGGGGCCAUCAGAAGAUGGGAAGAGCCCCUCUUACUGCUACGCCAGAUAAGCCUGGAGGAAUUUUUGCUUUCCAUCCUGACUCUGGGCUCUGCUGUCCCAGGGGUGGGGGGAGGCUGCUGCCACCAGUGACAGUGGUCCCCCUCUGAACCAGCAGGGAUAGGGUUCCUGCAUCGGCUGGUGGGAUUGAUCCCAAUUACUGAGGGGGAGCCUGGAGGCCAGCACAACUCGAGGACAGUAAAGCCUGUAUCUGUACCUGACGUCUUCACUGGGCACCUCCUCGUACUUAGUACUUCCAGGUUCGACUGUAAAAGGAAAGGAAGUCCUCUAAAAACAAGACUGUUAAGGUCUCAUAUCUUUCAGAAAGGACAGUGAGGCCCAGAAAACCAGGCCUACAUGGUAGAAGGAAGACUCUUUGAAACGGGGGCGCAGGCCUGGUUAAUGCUUGCUCUGGACUUCUCCUCACCUCCCCCACUUGACAUGACAUGCUGGGUGUGUUAACUACACCAAUUAGCAAAGGGCAGACCCAGCACCGAGGGAGGAGUCCGGCAUUACCUGGAGAGCCUGCAUCACUGAGAUACGACACCUCAUGGGACUUCUUCGGUAUGAAGAAUGUUUGCCCCACAUCAGGUGGGUGCAUUUUGGUAACUAAGUAUGGGUGGGUGAGAACAAAUUCUUCGUAGCCAAAGGGUCACCUGCCAGUGUGCUUUCAGAUCAAUUCUUGUCUGCUCUGCACAAGGUGCCGACUUCUGCAAGGAACUGUCCCAGGAUCCUUGUCUAGUCUGGCAAACAGGAGGGCAGGAGGAGAAAGAUGGGUGUCUCUCUCCCUUCCACAGUGAUGCUGAUGCAUCUCCCCUGAGGGGUCAGCUCCUGCUGGAGGGGGGCUCUGUCCCUGUGUCCCAGGAACCGUUCUGCUGACCCGCCAGCCCCAGGGAAAGGGCUCCUCCACCAUCAAAAUGAUCAAAUCCUUGUACUGGAUUCCCUUAGCUGGAAAGCCUAGCGUGGUUAUGUUCUCCCACCUGGACUGACACAGUCCUGUAGUUGAUUAAAACGUAUUGGGUCA